GGGCUGUAGCUCAGUGGUACAGCAUCUGUUUUGCAUGCAGAAGGUCUUAGGUUCAAUACCCAAGGGCACCU